rnacentral:rRNA from 1 species
GACGAACGCUGGCGGCGUGCUUAACACAUGCAAGUCGAGCGGUAAGGCCCUUUCGGGGGUACACGAGCGGCGAACGGGUGAGUAACACGUGGGUGACCUGCCCUCAGCUCUGGGAUAAGCCUGGGAAACUGGGUCUAAUACUGGAUAUGACUCCACGGUGCAUGUCGUGGGGUGGAAAGCCUUGUGCGGCUGAGGAUGGGCCCGCGGCCUAUCAGCUUGUUGGUGGGGUGANGGCCUACCAAGGCGACGACGGGUAGCCGGCCUGAGAGGGCGACCGGCCACACUGGGACUGAGACACGGCCCAGACUCCUACGGGAGGCAGCAGUGGGGAAUCUUGCGCAA